AUUAAAAAGGGUGGAUUUUCUUAGUGGUGGGACUCACCACUAAGAUUUUUGUUGGCCAUUAGACCAUUAUUUGGUCUCAUUCUCUCCCUCUCUCCCCGGCAGUCAGCUGCUUCUCUCUUCCCCUUCUUUUUCUUUUUUCUUUUUUCUUUUUUCUUUUUCUUUCGAUCAAGUUUUCAAAGCUUGAUUUUUCCCACACCAUUGAGAAAUUGAUAGUAGUACCUUAGGCAAUGUUGAAGAGCUCGUUGUGGGCUUCUUAUUGAUCGGAGCAAUUUUUAGUUUGGAACACUUGGGAUUUCGAAUUUCUUGGGUUUGAAUUUCAAGAUUUUGGAGCUUUUCUACAAUUAAGAGGUCACGGGAAGGAAGUGGCGGAUGACGUUCCUCCACAGGUUUUGACGGGUUAAAUUGCAAAAAGGAAGCAAAAAUGAUGCCUUGUGGAAUUUUGAACAAAAAGGGUGCCAAUUCUGAAUUUCUGGCAGCAGUAGAACCUGACUUUUGUCGCCAUUUUUGACCUAGAAAACUCAAGAACUGGACUUCGAUCAUAGCAUAAAAGAUUUAGAGCUCUGAAUCAGCUUUCCAAAUCUUCAAGCGGUUCGUCAUUUGGAGUUCGGAGCAAAGAGUUAUGAUCUUCUUAACAGAGGUACGCAGAACUGCCUGGCAGCACUGAAUUACUGCCUUUCUCCCCAUUUUCGACCAACCAGACUUGAGAAUUGGGUCUUCAUCAAAACAUGAAGUUUUUAAAGCACUGAAUCAACUCUCCAAAUCUUCAAACAGAUCGUCAUUCGGAGUUCGGGGCACAAAGUUAUAGCCAUUUUACCAAAGUAGGUCAGUGCUGAGCAAGAAGAGCAUGUUGCACAUUACACUAAUUUAGAGUGCUCGAGACCACCCUUCGAGUGCUCGAAAUUCUGGCAGAUUGCACUCAGAAAUGGCUCAAUUUCAGCCACUUGCACAUUGGUUUCCUCAAUGCCAUCUUCCUUCUUUAUGAAGUGGUUGGAGGUGUUCCUUGGAGGAGAGAGAGCCUUGACUUGAGCUUGAUAAGAGAGAGGGAGGACCACACAUUAUCAGGAUCCUAUAUUCUAGCAAGAUAGAGGAGAGAGAAGAGGGCAAAGAGGGGAGUUCUUCAAGCAAAGGAAGGAACACGAAAAUGGAGUCUUGGAUGGAGCUUCUUCCUUCUUCUAGCUUAGCAAUGGGUAACUAACUCUUUCUCUAGGGAGGUGAUGAAGUCCCUCCCUUGUAAGCAUGUCCUAGGAUAGUCUAUUUUGGGGAUUUGCCAUGUAUAUUUUAUGGUCUUUUCAUAACCAAGAGCACCUCAUUUGUUGUAAUGAAUGUUGAUACA